rnacentral:rRNA from 1 species
AUGCUGGUUAUCGUUGGAGCAUGCAUGGCUACGGGGCAAUAUGCAAAAGACUCAAGUGACCCUUUAGCGAUGGAGGUGAUUGAUCUUGAAGAACAGAAAACCAACAAAGUUGUUGCCUCGAAUGAAGAGGUUGCCCAAUCACACAUUUGUGAUGAGUCAGCCGCUCCCAAGUUGAAGAAAGCCAAAACUAAUCCUUCUGCAGAAGAUAGGAUGGUUGCAACUAUAAUGGCUUCAAGUGAAAGGCUUGUUGUUGCCAUUGAGAAACUUGCUAGCGACGUCAACCCCGCCAUUGAUGGUCUUUGGGAUGAGAUGAAAGAACUCCCUGGCUUUGAUGUGGACUCCGUUGCUCAUUACUAUGCCUAUUUGGUUGACAAUCCUCGUGUUGCAACGACAUUCAAGGUUCUGGGGGGUGUUCAAAGAAAGGUUUGGGUCUCUAGGUAUGUGAAGAGUACCUUUCCUGAAGCUGAAGCAUGCUGA